CCUACGGGAGGCAGCAGUGAGGAAUAUUGGUCAAUGGACGCAAGUCUGAACCAGCCAAGCCGCGUGCAGGAAGACGGCUCUAUGAGUUGUAAACUGCUUUUGUACGAGGGUAAACGCAGAUACGCGUAUCUGUCUGAAAGUAUCGUACGAAUAAGGAUCGGCUAACUCCGUGCCAGCAGCCGCGGUAAUACGGAGGAUUCAAGCGUUAUCCGGAUUUAUUGGGUUUAAAGGGUGCGUAGGCGGUCGGAUAAGUUAGAGGUGAAAUCCCGAGGCUCAACUUCGGAAUUGCCUCUGAUACUGUUCGGCUAGAGAGUAGUUGCGGUAGGCGGAAUGUAUGGUGUAGCGGUGAAAUGCUUAGAGAUCAUACAGAACACCGAUUGCGAAGGCAGCUUACCAAGCUACUUCUGACGUUGAGGCACGAAAGCGUGGGGAGCGAACAGGAUUAGAUACCCCUGUAGUC
rnacentral:rRNA from 1 species